GGUGAGAUGGCCGAGCGGUCUAAGGCGCCAGACUAAGGAGACCAGCGUGUUUGACGCGCAGCUGUAUCUGGUCCGAAAGGGCGUGGGUUCGAAUCCCACUCUCAUCA
rnacentral:tRNA from 1 species